rnacentral:misc_RNA from 1 species
UCGUAAAAAAGAGGUGUGAGGGCUGUCGCUGACCCCCCAAAGGUCGUGCACGCCUGAGCGCUUUUACACAAUCCAUCUCACCCCUUGUGCAUCACUGCGUGGGUCCCCCCUUUGCGGGGAGGGGCCUGCGUUUCCACAUAAAACUCGAUACAGUGUAGAAUGUCUAUUUUUGCGGUCACACGCAAUCAAUA